CCAAAAUAUAAUUUAUUUGCAAUGUUUAUUUUCCUUACAAGCAGAGAGCUUCAAAGUAUCGACAAAAUUUUACCACUAACGUAAAGUAGAAUGUGUCACGAAAAAACAAUCUCGGAAUCAGAAUGAAAGGAAGAGGGGCAUUCAGACCCCUCAGAAACCAAGCCUUAGUGCAUAGGGUUAAUAGCCAGGAUGAUUACUUCCUGAUGCAGAUCAGCAACCCCAGAAAACCAGAGACAACAGUAAUUUUGUAUGCUGUUAAAAAUUAAAUAUUGGGGUGAAAAUCACUGAAAAAUUGGGGGACCACCAUCACAUACAGUGCCUAUUUGACGUUCCCUUGCCGUUUCCCUUUCAACUAUUCCAACCAAUAAAUGACUGCCGAGGAUCAAAGAGGUGAAAUCUUUCUAAAGAUGAGAGUUCCAGAAAGCAUUUAUAUAAUGUGUAUAAACCCAAAAUAUGUUACAAUAUUUACAUUGUAUGUCUAAAUAAUGAUAUAAUAAGCCAGUAUGUAUAAACACU